AUUGAACGCUGGCGGCGUGCUUAACACAUGCAAGUCGAGCGGUAACACGGGGGCAACCCUGGCGACGAGCGGCGAACGGGUGCGUAAUACAUGGGAAUCUGCCCUGUAGUGGGGAAUAACCCGGCGAAAGCCGGGCUAAUGCCGCAUACGAUCUACGGAUGAAAGCGGGGGACCUUCGGGCCUCGCGCUAUUGGAUGAGCCCAUGUCGGAUUAGCUAGUUGGUGAGGUAACGGCUCACCAAGGCGACGAUCCGUAGCUGGUCUGAGAGGACGGCCAGCCACACUGGGACUGAGACACGGCCCAGACUCCUACGGGAGGCAGCAGUGGGGAAUAUUGGACAAUGGGGGAAACCCUGAUCCAGCGACGCCGCGUGUGUGAAGAAGGCCUGCGGGUUGUAAAGCACUUUCGGUGGGAACGAAAUGUGCCGGGCUAACUACCCCGGCAAGCUGACGUUACUCAAUGAAGAAGCACCGGCUAACUCUGUGCC
rnacentral:rRNA from 1 species